UCUUCCCUCUUUCUUCGUGCCUAAUACAUGCAAGUCGAGCGAACAGAUGAGGAGCUUGCUCCUCUGACGUUAGCGGCGGACGGGUGAGUAACACGUGGAUAACCUACCUAUAAGACUGGGAUAACUUCGGGAAACCGGAGCUAAUACCGGAUAAUAUAUUGAACCGCAUGGUUCAAUAGUGAAAGACGGUUUUGCUGUCACUUAUAGAUGGAUCCGCGCCGCAUUAGCUAGUUGGUAAGGUAACGGCUUACCAAGGCAACGAUGCGUAGCCGACCUGAGAGGGUGAUCGGCCACACUGGAACUGAGACACGGUCCAGACUCCUACGGGAGGCAGCAGUAGGGAAUCUUCCGCAAUGGGCGAAAGCCUGACGUAGCAACGCCGCGUGAGUGAUGAAGGUCUUCGGAUCGUAAAACUCUGUUAUUAGGGAAGAACAAAUGUGUAAGUAACUAUGCACGUCUUGACGGUACCUAAUCAGAAAGCCACGGCUAACUACGUG
rnacentral:rRNA from 1 species